UACGUAGGGGGCUAGCGUUGUCCGGAUUUAUUGGGCGUAAAGAGCGUGUAGGCGGCCAGGUAGGUCUGCUGUGAAAGCCCUCAGCUCAACUGAGGAAGUGCGCCCGAAACUGCAGAGCUUGAGUGCCGGAGAGGGUGGCGGAAUUCCCCAAGUAGAGGUGAAAUUCGUAGAUGUGGGGAGGAACACCGGUGGCGAAGGCGGCCACCUGGACGGUAACUGACGCUGAGACGCGAAAGCGUGGGGAGCAAACAGG
rnacentral:rRNA from 1 species